GUUACAUUUUAGUGGCGUUGGUGAUGCUGGUUUGGCAACUACGAGGAUAAUGAUGGUGAUAUCACUGAAACUUAUAAUUUUUGGGCAGAGGUAUUGUUUUCAGACGCGUUAGCUUGUUUCUCCUUGGACAAAAUAUUUCGAGAAUCGCUGCAUAGAUUCGGAUGAAACUUUCAGGGAUGUUUGGCCUUGUGACCGGAACGAAAUGAUUAGAUGUUGGGAUCGAUCCAGUACCGGACAAGUUGCUACAGGUGCUGGAUUGCGGCAAGGACGGUGCAGCGCAUUUAAAGGUUUCAUGAACGAAAUUUACCUCAUUGCAUUUUUUUUUUUUGUUCUUCGGAACUUAAUCUCUCGGAGCUUUUUCAUCGAACCAUUGAGAUACGAAAAGUCUUUGU
rnacentral:lncRNA from 1 species